GAAACGGACGUCCCAGUUCGGAUUGCAGCCUGCAACUCGGCUGCAUGAAGCUGGAAUCGCUAGUAAUCGCGGAUCAGAAUGCCGCGGUGAAUACGUUCCCGGGUCUUGUACACACCGCCCGUCACACCAUGGGAGUCGGGAAUGCCCGAAGUCAGUGACCCCAACCGAAAGGGGGGANCUGCCGAAGGCAGGCCUGGUAACUGGGGUGAAGUCGUAACAAGGUACC
rnacentral:rRNA from 1 species